UACGGAGGAUGCGAGCGUUAUCCGGAUUUAUUGGGUUUAAAGGGUGCGCAGGCGGCGUGUCAAGUCAGCGGUAAAAUGUCGGGGCUCAACCCCGGCCGGCCGUUGAAACUGGCGUGCUCGAGUUGGAGAGAAGUAUGCGGAAUUCGUGGUGUAGCGGUGAAAUGCAUAGAUAUCACGAAGAACCCCGAUUGCGAAGGCAGCAUACCGGCUCCACACUGACGCUGAGGCACGAAAGCGUGGGGAGCAAACAGG
rnacentral:rRNA from 1 species